rnacentral:rRNA from 1 species
GAUGAACGCUGGCGGCGUGCCUAAUACAUGCAAGUCGAGCGAACGGACGAGAAGCUUGCUUCUCUGAUGUUAGCGGCGGACGGGUGAGUAACACGUGGAUAACCUACCUAUAAGACUGGGAUAACUUCGGGAAACCGUAGCUAAUACCGGAUAAUAUUUUGAACCGCAUGGUUCAAAAGUGAAAGACGGUCUUGCUGCCACUUAUAGAUGGAUCCGCGCUGCAUUAGCUAGUUGGUAAGGUAACGGCUUACCAAGGCAACGAUGCAUAGCCGACCUGAGAGGGUGAUCGGCCACACUGGAACUGAGACACGGUCCAGACUCCUACGGGAGGCAGCAGUAGGGAAUCUUCCGCAAUGGGCGAAAGCCUGACGGAGCAACGCCGCGUGAGUGAUGAAGGUCUUCAGAUCGUAAAACUCUGUUAUUAGGGAAGAACAUAUGUGUAAGUAACUGUGCACAUCUUGACGGUACCUAAUCAGAAAGCCACGGCUAACUACGUG